GUGGGGAAUUUUGGACAAUGGGCGAAAGCCUGAUCCAGCAAUGCCGCGUGUGUGAAGAAGGCCUUCGGGUUGUAAAGCACUUUUGUCCGGAAAGAAAUCCUUUGGGUUAAUACCUCGGAGGGAUGACGGUACCGGAAGAAUAAGCACCGGCUAACUACGUGCCAGCAGCCGCGGUAAUACGUAGGGUGCGAGCGUUAAUCGGAAUUACUGGGCGUAAAGCGUGCGCAGGCGGCUCUGAAAGACAGAUGUGAAAGCCCCGGGCUCAACCUGGGAACUGCAUUUGUGACUGCAAGGCUAGAGUGCGUCAGAGGGAGGUGGAAUUCCGCGUGUAGCAGUGAAAUGCGUAGAGAUGCGGAGGAACACCGAUGGCGAAGGCAGCCUCCUGGGAUGACACUGACGCUCAUGCACGAAAGCGUGGGGAGCAAACAGGAUUAGAAACCCGGGUAGUCC
rnacentral:rRNA from 1 species